CCGGCCCGGCCGCUGCCGCCCAGGCCCGGGGGCCUGAAAAACAUCAUCCGUCACCAGCGGGCCUUGCAGGGGACUUAGAACUUCGGUGCGAGGGGCUGUGGGGGUGGUGAGGCGUUGGACGAAGCUGCUUCCCAAAGAAGUUGCGGAUGCCCCAUCCUUGGAAAUAUUCAGUGCCAGGCCAGGGCUGAACUGCCAGGAUGGAGGAAUUCUUUGGACCUGACCUUUAGUCAUGAGAGACAGAGGCACCCAGCCUCAGUAAAACUACAGCAUUCUACAAAUCUAUUACAUCUACAGAUUUAAAGCUGCAAUUUGAAUUAAAAAACUAAAGAGUUGUGCAAGCUAUGCCACCAAAAGAUGUAUCAAGAGUCCAAUGUAGUGAAAGUAUGACAUCUUCCAAGCAUGGGAAAGAAAUGGAAAGGUGCUUCAAUAGGCACAGCAUGUCUCAACAGCAAAGCCCCUGUUGCACAUCUCAUCCCUUUCUUCCCACCUCCCAGGGACCAGGCAACCCAGAGCCUUCCAUGUGCAGCCCAGCACCCCAACCACAGCCUCCUGCCAGCCUCCCAGCACCUUGUGCAGGCAGCAGGAUAUGGGCAGGGUCAACUCUGCAGGUCCUUCACCUGCUUUGCUGUAGCCAGAAUUCCAGGGUAGAGCCACGAGCAGAAGCUGUGAUGGGAGACAUUCCCUGCUGUGCUGGGAAGCUGUCUGCACCCAGGAGCGUCUGUCAGGGUGUGACACCAGCACCUGCUCGCUCUCCUGCCUACAAAUUCUCUCUGUGAAGGACAAUUCCAGUGCAGUGGGAACAGCUCAAGAAAACAAAAUGCCUUAUAACUUUCAGUGGAAAACAAGGGCUGUCAGGACAGUUUCUCUUCCUGCCUUCUUUCCACUCACCCCCAGUUAAUGUCUGCAGUUUUAAAGGAGCCCUGUCCCCUCCCCCUCAUUCCUGCUAUAAAGUAAACUCAGGUACUUCAAGUACACAGAGGGAUUUUCAGAUUUCCACCCACGUAAGCAGCUACUUGGCACAUCUGAUGCGCAUGUGAAAUUGGUUCACAAGGGCCAGGGCAGGCACCAACAUCUCCAUUUCUAGCUCUACUGAGCUUAAAUUUUAUCAUUUAUUUGAUUUCAAAGCAAAAAAUACACAACUUACUUUACUUCACAGAAGAAGAAACCUCAGCAAAGCAUCUUUUUUCCCCUGGCAGGGUUGGGUUACUGAUCCCCCACUCCCACCCACGCAGCUGAACCCAGUGCCUGGUCAGCCUGAGAGCUGUGAGGAAAUCAAAUGCACAUGUCAGCACUCCCCUCUCCUGCUCCAGCCAUGAACCAUCCCAGAAGCAGAAGACAUGCCAGGGAGUGGUGUACUAGCUGUGUCUUUUCUCAGAUGAACUGUAGAGCAAAGUUGUGUUCGCUCAGCCUCAUGGAAGUUUUGGAAAGGCAAUACUCUAAAGGUUCCCAGCACGGAGCUUUCGCACCAAAGUUCAAAGCUCUGGGAUACACAGACCAGAGUUUAAGUGUAACAAAAUUAAUAUUAAUGCUCAUUAAAAGUGGACAGCAAGUAUUUCCUUAAAGGAAAUUAUGAUUAAGCAAGUGCUAAAGUCUAAAAAAAAUUGCUACAUGAUUUCCACCUAUAAGAAUAAUGGUUUUCACACAGAGCUUUCCUCUUUGGAUUCCUCCUCCCUUGCUUACUUAAGCAAAAUAAAUAAAUACCCAGCAUAAUACAUAAUCUGCCUCACUCCAAUAGCUUUUAUUUAAUAUUUAUCUGGGUACUUGUUUCCUUACAAAAGCUUCCUGUACUCCAUAUGUUGCUGAAGAAUAGUAUCUGUCAUUUAAGACUGCACUUCACCAUCCCUUCCAUACAUAGCUUUAAGUAAAAAAAAAACAGAACAACUAGUCAAAGUUACUCUCUUGUUAGGAGAUGCAAGAGAACCAUUUUUAUUUUAAUUUAUCCUAUUUCAGUGAAGUGCAAUGCUCAAAGUGAAGAAAAAACUAGCUACGCAGCUUGUAACGAAGAGCUACAAUUCACUCAUAAAGCUGGCAAGCAGAGGAACCAUGUACCAACUUCUGAAGUUAUUUUGCCACGAAUACAGCAGAGGUGAGAGCCUUCUUUCACGUAAGCUUUACACUAGUUCUAUUUGGCUUCUUUUACUAAGAAUCGAAGAGGAAGUAACAAUUUAUAACCCAGGGUAAAUCAAAGCAAAAUGACACUUUGAUAAACACUAGAGCUUAUCAAUCACAAGGAGACACUGUAUCAGAUUGCUGAGGAAUUCCAGAGCUGCUAGAGUGGCUCUGGCAGAGCAGAGCCAAGGGUCUCUAGGAAAAGCCAUGGCUAGCUGAGGGCAGGUGGCGCAGCACCAGAGCCUGGCACCCAGACUGCCAGCUGCCCAGCAACAUCCACCAGCAGCCAGAGUAUUGCUAAAACACAUCCAGGAAGCAGAGAACAAAAGGGAAAGGAAACCAAAGACCAACUCGUGCUAGGAAGCCUCAGCAUAAGAGACACACAUUGGGUUGCCAAUUUCUUCUGAACAGCAUUGCUGGGAGUGCAGUGUCUGCAUCAGACUGAUGAAAACUGAAGUUAUGUUUGUAACUAAGAUGAUAACUGUUAGAAUUUUUCCCUAAUAGUAUGGUUUGGCACUGAAAACAGAAAAGCAAAGAGAUCAUGAGAUGAUAAAUCCUAUUAACACACCUACUGCAUGUUCAAAGGUUUCAGGUUUUUGUUAGGGAGGGUGGGAAGACUGCAACAUUUCAGUUCCAUGCACACAGCUGAAGCACUAAACCUCUUCUGCAUAUAACAGAGUGGAUAAUGAAUGUGCAGGAAAAAAAAGGCGAAUGGUGAAAUAAAGCUGAAAAUUUACCUUUGCUUCUGUUUGUAAACAGAUGCAGGAGGAACUAGACAAGCAUAAUAUUUGCUAGUCUGCAUAAUUACAACAGAUGUCUAUGUUGGAUAAAGUGGCCUGUACAGUAGAUAUAGAGGCAGUCUAACAUACAUAAAUAAAAUCAAAACACUACUUAUUAUCAAUUUGCUUAUGAACAAGAAGACAGCUUAUCUGGUGUUUAAUAUUUAUAGCUAUACUUACAGCAAUAUUCAUUGCACCCUUGAAAGAAAUUCAGAUCUACUACUUUAAGCAAAGUGGGCUUCAAAAAACUGGAUGUCAGACUAUACAAAUAAAGUAUUAGUUUAGGCAUAGUAGACUUUAUUUUGGCACUUUAACAAAUGCUUUAUUUUACAGCAGUGGCACAGCAUUUGCCAGAAAUUUUCUUUUCUUGGCACAGUUAUUUCAAGCAGUUAUUUUACUAAUUGAAGUUCACUAAAUAUUGCACAAGAUAUACCUGUUAAAUUCUUACCCUGUUUUUACUUGCUGAACUUGUAUGGCUUUGAAAAACUUGCCAGUUAAGUAAAAAGCAAUAUAUUAAUUAUUUUAGCACAGGAUAGCAUUCGUUGGUUCCUAAAUGACCACUGAACUUGGGACAGCAACAAAUAAAAGCUGCACAACUCUUAUCUGAAGAGCUACCAGAUCUUAUUUACAAUACAUUGCCAUUUCUGAAAAGCACUUCAGCUUGACAUCCUGAACACCUGUAUUUUGGGAAUCUCAAAAAUAAAAAACCAGGAGGUCAGCAGAGCAGAAGACGAAGCCAUUUGUCUGUUACAAAGCAUAAUAUAAGGAGGCAGACUGUCGUCUUCUCCCUGUGUCCCUCUAUCCAGCACCUAUCUAAGGUCUAAGCAACAGACACUUCUCUCUUCUACUCAGAAUAUUUCUUUCUUCUCUUAUGAAGACAUUCCACUUGUCUCAACUCUUCUGCUGGAGUCUGAGCAGAACAAACCAAAAUUUUUCAAAGGGACCGGGAAAAAACAAACGCGACCAACAAAUAAAAAACAAAUACACACAGUAAAUGAACUGGGGUACUCCUCUGAAAUUUACAGUAGGGAAAACAACAUUUGCAGGAAGAACAGGCCUGUGUCAACACUGCCAUUAAACACAAUGCAGAAGUCAAAUGUCUCACAGCUAAUACACCAGAUGCAAGACUAAAACAUCCCACUUCGCUCUGCCACCUUAGCAGUAAAUCUGGUGUGAGGAUCACCCUCAUCAACAGCCUUUCUUUUUUGGUCUGGAUUUUUAAGAUCUACUAGAUGUACUCUGUGACAUUAAAACAUGAGCAAACAGACAUAAAAUGAAAAUCAUACAAAAGUAUAUCACAAUAGAAUUCUCAGUAUUAGGCCACAUGAUUUAUUCAGUAGUGUUUAUGUUCCCAAAUUACAAUUAUGUCUAUCCAUGUAAGACUACAAAAGUUACCAUUAGAAUUGUCUGUGCUUAUAAAAUACCAACAUUUUCUUUUACUGUUAUAUACUCAUUAACACCAGUCUGCAACGAGUCACAUAUAAUCAUAGGCACUUCAAAGGCUUUAAAGACGUUUACAACUUAAAUGCAUUUUUAAAGAACAAAAAUUUAAACCUCUACUUGUACCUUCAAAUUGCAAAUAAUUAACAAAUACAGUGGCCAUAGAAAUCUGCAGCAACUUCUCAAAAUACUGUUAGAGUCUUUGGGUUUGCUUAAGUUCGUCAGUAGCUUACUACAAAUCUUCCUUACAGGAGAUUUGUUUAGUAAGAAUAUGACUAUACAGUUUGUAGUAAUAAUCCAAUUUUACACAUUAAUUGCUGUUACAAAUCUCACUGAAGCUACAGGUAAGCUGAGAAACAAUGCAAAGUGUAAAAUUGAUAUUCUGACACUUAAAUUUAUACAAAGUGGAGGUUGAAGUUUACAUAGCUGAAAAA